rnacentral:lncRNA from 1 species
AUGUAGAGAACCUCUAUUUUGGAAAGACUUGUAAACUUGAUGCUGUCUUUUUAUGUUCAUUCAAUUUGCUCACAUAUUGAACAGAGCACGAUCAAGAACAGGUUUUAUGGAACAUUGUCUGAUAGAUUUCUUUGAGUUUUCCUCAUGCCGUUGACCUGUGCUUGUAGUCCACUAACAGAACGUGAGCCCUACUUUGUUCUACUAAACCAUCUCCAUGCACUGUCCAAUAGCAGAAAUGAUGGCUGGGCUCUUCAAGAGGGUUGCUGAAAUGGUGAUGGGUGUCAGGACGUCCAUUAUUGUUUGAAGGCAAGUGAAACUUGUACUUUAGACUGGGUAGUUACUUUUCCGCCUCACUGAAGUUGGCAAGACGUCAAAUGAUGGAAGGGAUAAUGUCCCUUUAACUGGGGAAUCUUAUGUUUCAGUGACUGUGAUCUAUUGGACUGAUCUUGAAUGGACUGGCUAGCUUUCUGAUUUCUUGUUAAGUGGCUAGAAUAUUUGUAAGACUUUCUUACUUAAAAAUCUCUAUCAAAAUGUGAAUUAAUAGAAAUAGGAUUUGUUUUGUGUAAGGUAAGAAGGUUAGAGAAGACUGGUCCCUCGAUGGGCUAAAAAGGGUAAAUUUAACUUCCAUCCAAAGCAAGCUUGAAUUUGAAAGUAGAGCUUUCACAAUUUUCAAGGUUGACUGUCAGAUGCCUCAGGCGUAUGUCCCCAAGGGUUUGUGUCUCUGCUCUAAACUGGAUGAAGUUAAAAUGGAAUUAGAUGGGCCAGGUCUCCUUCAAUUCUAGAGUCCUCUAACAGUUUCUCCUCUUCUUAAAGACUGGAUUGAAAUAUUUUUGUUGUUCUGCUCUGUCCUACUUUUGUGUUUUUGGAAAAAGUUAUACAACUCAGUGUUUCCUACCCCAAGUGGACUAUUUUAAGAAUCAUCUGGGAGAGUUAGUGCAAAUCAAGUUCAUGGUCCUCAUUUGUAGCAAUUCUGACUAAGUGGACUUAGGUGGGUCUCGAAUCUAUUUGUUAAAGUUACUCAGAUGCGCAGUCAGCUUCCCCAAGCUUCCCCACUGAUAUCAUCGACUUCCCUCACACUUUUGGGGAUGAUUAUUUCAUACAUAGUAUUACCUCUAAUCUUCACAAUUGACUUGUGAGGAAAGCGCUACAUUUCGCUGGUUUGCAGAUGAAGAAACCAAGGCACAGACAGGUUCUGUAACUGAUCCAAGGUCCCCUUGCUGUAAGUGCUGGAGCCAGGUUUAAGGUAGAGUCCCCCUCCACCCUAAAC